rnacentral:misc_RNA from 1 species
GUGAAUCAUCGAAUUUUUGAACGCAAAUUGCACUCUCCUCGGAGCGUAUGACUGUUUGAGGGUGAGCCUAUAAAAAAUCGACAUCGUUGCUGUUUCGCGGUGGCGUUGGUAGGCAAUUGGGUCAUCUCAAAUUACUUGGUUUUAAGCGACUUAAAAUUUUUUUUUUGGUUCCAUGAAUGUUUCUAUGAUUUAUUUCUUUACACGUUAUC